rnacentral:lncRNA from 1 species
CUGGGGAUCAAAGCGAAAGUAAAGUGCAUCGUCCUAAGCUGUCUUUUUUAUGAAACCAGAAACAUCUUAACACCUAGUUUUGUUAAUUUAGAUUUUCUGGAUGGAACGUCAUUUAGAUGAAAUAUGACCAUACAUUUCCAUUUAGUUCAGUUCAGAUGAAAUAUCAAAGUCAUCUGAAGUCAUUGAGGAGUGACCGGUCAAUGGAUCCUUCCCAUACCUAGUGGACAAACUGAUCUUUGAUUUAGUUUGGUCCAGAUGCAAAGACCAAAGUUAUCUAAACCCAGCUGUGUGCCUAUGAGGGGUGUCUGGUCAGUGGAUCUGCCUCAAAACUUAAGUGGACACAAAGAUCCUAUGUUUAGCAUGGACCCACCAGAACCCAGCUGUGUGUCCAUGAAGAGUGACUGGUCAAUGGAACCUCACGUAACUUUCGUGGACACACUGUACCAAAUCUUGGGUUUAGGUAAAUGCUGUACUAAACCUUUUAUCUUGUUGCGUUUUUAUUGACUCAAAGAAUUGUGCAAAUUCUUUGUUGUAAAACAGGCAAAUUCAAAUGGCAUAUUCAAAUGACCUGGGUAGGGCUGCACUAGCCAUUGGUAAGUUCUUACUUAAAUUAGAGUGAUAAGUCCACACUAGAGGCUUAGUAACCACUAGCUUGUUUGUAACUAAAUCUAUGCAUUAUUUUAUUGCACCAGUUGUUUGUAAGGCAGGAUGUAGUUAGUAGUUCUUAAGCUCUCGGUAAAGUAAUGCGUAGUCACAUAAUAUGACGUUUACCCAAACUCAUCC